AAACAGAAAACACGUUGAAUUUUCGGAU
rnacentral:sRNA from 1 species